GCCAUUAUAGGCAAGUGGUAUACCGAUGCCUUGGUAAGGCAUUAUCACAAGUUCGAUUCUUGUUAAUGGCACCA
rnacentral:tRNA from 1 species